AGUCGACGGUAACAGGGACUUCGGUCCGCUGACGAGUGGCGCACGGGUGAGUAACGCGUGGGUUACCUGCCCAUAAGUGGGGAACAACUUGGAGAAAUCCAAGCUAAUACCGCAUAAUACCUUCGGGUUAAAGAGGGGGAUCUUCGGACCUCUCGCUUAUGGAUGGUCCCGCGUCUGAUUAGCUAGUUGGUAGGGUAAUGGCCUACCAAGGCAAUGAUCAGUAGCUGGUCUGAGAGGAUGAUCAGUCACACUGGAACUGAGACACGGUCCAGACUCCUACGGGAGGCAGCAGUGGGGAAUUUUGCACAAUGGGCGAAAGCCUGAUGCAGCGACGCCGCGUGCGGGAAGAAGGCCUUCGGGUUGUAAACCGCUUUCAACAGGGAAGAAGGAAUGAGAGCUAAUACCUCUCUGCCUUGACGGUACCUGUAGAAGAAGCACCGGCUAAUUUCGUGCCAGCAGCCGCGGUAAUACGAAAGGUGCAAGCGUUGUUCGGAUUUACUGGGCGUAAAGAGAUCGUAGGUGGCUUGUUAAGUCGGAUGUGAAAUCCCGGGGCUCAACCCCGGAACUGCAUCCGAUACUGGCAGGCUUGAGUUUGGGAGGGGUAAGCGGAAUUCCGUGUGUAGCAGUGAAAUGCGUAGAUAUACGGAGGAACACCUGAGGCGAAGGCGGCUUACUGGACCAAUACUGACACUGAGGAUCGAAAGCGUGGGUAGCAAACAGGAUUAGAUACCCUGGUAGUCCACGCCCUAAACGAUGUCAACUAGCCGUUGCGGGUAUCGACCCCUGCAGUGGCGCAGCUAACGCGAUAAGUUGACCGCCUGGGGGGAGUACGGUCGCAGAUUAAACUCAAGGGAAUUUGACGGGGCCCGCACA
rnacentral:rRNA from 1 species